GAUGAACGCUGGCGGCGUGCCUAAUACAUGCAAGUCGAGCGAACAGAUGAGGAGCUUGCUCCUCUGACGUUAGCGGCGGACGGGUGAGUAACACGUGGAUAACCUACCUAUAAGACUGGGAUAACUUCGGGAAACCGGAGCUAAUACCGGAUAAUAUAUUGAACCGCAUGGUUCAAUAGUGAAAGACGGUUUUGCUGUCACUUAUAGAUGGAUCCGCGCCGCAUUAGCUAGUUGGUAAGGUAACGGCUUACCAAGGCAACGAUGCGUAGCCGACCUGGGAGGGGGUCCGCCCCACUUGAACUUGGCACCGGUCCAGGCUCCUUAGGGAGGCAGCAGUAGGGAAUCUUCCGCAAUGGGCGAAAGCCUGACGGAGCAACGCCGCGUGAGUGAUGAAGGUCUUCGGAUCGUAAAACUCUGUUAUUAGGGAAGAACAAAUGUGUAAGUAACUAUGCACGUCUUGACGGUACCUAAUCAGAAAGCCACGGCUAACUACGUG
rnacentral:rRNA from 1 species